CACACACACACACACACACACACACACACACAUGCACACACACACACAAAACAAACACAAAACAUAAUUCAGUUUUAAAAAAUGAAAGACAAAAACAAAAAGAAAAAGGAAGGAAGAAAGAAAAGAGAAGAGAGAAGAGAAGAGAAGAGAAGAGAAGAGAAGAGAAGAGAAGAGAAGAGAAGAAAAAGAAAAUUGGAUGACUGGUACCAAAGAAAUCUGACAAGUUCUUCCUUUGCUAAUUUUCCUAGGUGCUGGAAUGUAAGAGUCACCUGGCUGAAACACUUCUGUCUUCUCCAGUGUUCAAUAUUUAGUGGUAUUCAGGUGUCUUAAGGAGAGUUUAACGCACCAGUUUUCAUGAGCUCACAAUAGCUAAGAACACCUCUUUUGUUAAGCCGUGGCAUGAAGAACAGAUCACUGUAAGCUGUUCUCAGACAUCCAAGUUUAGAGACUGAUCAGCUGCUGGGAAUGGUGCACCCACAAACCCAUCUACCAAAAAGAAGCAGCGGAUAAACUCACUCAUCUACAUACAGAGUCCUCAACUCCGCUGUGGUGUAACCUGCUCCUUGGACCCAGUGUUUCCCUCUAACAUCAUGGAACCUUACUGAUAUUGUUGACCUAGAGGGUGGGGAAGCUGAGCCAAUGUCUCAUGCAAGCAAGCGCUUCAGCACUAGCCACACUGCACACCACUCAUCACGUCACGUGAAUAUUGACUGAAGCGCUGAAAGAAACAUGAGCCACUGUGGACCACACAGGAGGAUAUCUAGUACAUCUCGGACGACACCAAAGGAGAGCCAACUGUGAGAGCUAGAGUUAUGCUUGAAGUUUUAACUACAAUGCCUAAAAGAUCCACAAAACAAAAAUGUCUCUAACCUGCAAGCUCACUUGUCCAAGGACAGGAUACUUUCUGAAAUGCCGGAGGCUGUUACUCAUAUAUGAUAAAAAGCCAUGUUUUCACUUCCCUAA